CUGGAGAGCCCGGACGUCGAUGCUGAUUGGUGGUGCCUCGUUGACGACGAGCCCGUUCCACUCGACCCCCCGUUCUCUACCACCCAUAUAGUGGACUUCCCGACCUCCUCCGAUCCACCUCUCUCUCCUCUCUCCACCCUCCCCCCUGCACCUCGCAGUUGCUAUUUAUAGGGGGCCAACAGAGCGCUGUCGUCGUCAUCGUCUC
rnacentral:lncRNA from 1 species